AUGGGGUUAGCGCAAGCGAAGCUCUUGAUCGAAGCCCCGGUAAACGGCGGCCGUAACUAUAACGGUCCUAAGGUAGCGAAAUUCCUUGUCGGGUAAGUUCCGACCUGCACGAAUGGCGUAACGAUGGCGGCGCUGUCUCCACCCGAGACUCAGUGAAAUUGAAAUCGCUGUGAAGAUGCAGUGUAUCCGCGGCUAGACGGAAAGACCCCGUGAACCUUUACUGUAGCUUUGCACUGGACUUUGAGCCUGCUUGUGUAGGAUAGGUGGGAGGCUUUGAAGCGUGGACGCCAGUUCGCGUGGAGCCAUCCUUGAAAUACCACCCUGGCAUGCUUGAGGUUCUAACUCUGGUCCGUGAUCCGGAUCGAGGACAGUGUAUGGUGGGCAGUUUGACUGGGGCGGUCUCCUCCUAAAGAGUAACGGAGGAGUACGAAGGUGCGCUCAGACCGGUCGGAAAUCGGUCGCAGAGUAUAAAGGCAAAAGCGCGCUUGACUGCGAGACAGACACGUCGAGCAGGUACGAAAGUAGGUCUUAGUGAUCCGGUGGUUCUGUAUGGAAGGGCCAUCGCUCAACGGAUAAAAGGUACUCCGGGGAUAACAGGCUGAUACCGCCCAAGAGUUCAUAUCGACGGCGGUGUUUGGCACCUCGAUGUCGGCUCAUCACAUCCUGGGGCUGAAGCCGGUCCCAAGGGUAUGGCUGUUCGCCAUUUAAAGUGGUACGCGAGCUGGGUUUAGAACGUCGUGAGACAGUUCGGUCCCUAUCUGCCGUGGACGUUUGAGAUUUGAGAGGGGCUGCUCCUAGUACGAGAGGACCGGAGUGGACGAACCUCUGGUGUUCCGGUUGUCACGCCAGUGGCAUUGCCGGGUAGCUAUGUUCGGAAAAGAUAACCGCUGAAAGCAUCUAAGCGGGAAACUUGCCUCAAGAUGAGAUCUCACUGGGAACUUGAUUCCCCUGAAGGGCCGUCGAAGACUACGACGUUGAUAGGCUGGGUGUGUAAGCGUUGUGAGGCGUUGAGCUAACCAGUACUAAUUGCCCGUGAGGCUUGACCAU
rnacentral:rRNA from 1 species